GACCGAGCCAAUUAGGCUGAGCUGGAGGAGAGCAGAGCGGAGGGACUGGGUUUACCCAGCAAACAUGAAGGGCCUCGAGCCAAAUUGAGAUAUCGGCCCAUCACCAGUGGCUUGGAUUUAGGUGUGAGAAGGGUGACCAUUCACCUAUGAGAAAUGGGAAAGAAGUGUGAUCCUAAAUAGGGGCCAUAUGUUAUUUCAGAAACACAGAUUUCAGAGGAUUUGGUUCCAGAGCCUUCUAAUUCUCCUCUAGAAUGAGCUCACUAAGUCCCCCUCCUCAAGAGAACUCUAUCAACCUUCCAAUCCAAUCAGCGUUUUCCAGGAACAUUGGAUGGAGAAUGCCAAGCCAACAACAUCUCAUGUUCUUGUUCAUCUUUGUGAACUCUUAAGACUUUCUGUUUUAUUCAUUACCUCCUAAAGUUAAGUAAUUUUACUUAUGAAGUCAUUUAUUAUUAAUAAAUUUUCCUAUACUUGGCUGCUAAUUUGCUCU